rnacentral:rRNA from 1 species
CGCGUAGGUGGUUGCGUAAGUCGGAUGUGAAAUCCCCGGGCUUAACCCGGGAACUGCACCCGAUACUGCGUGACUCGAGUGCAGCAGAGGGAAACGGAAUUCCUGGUGUAGAGGUGAAAUUCGUAGAUAUCAGGAGGAACACCGGUGGCGAAGGCGGUUUCCUGGGCUGACACUGACACUGAGGCGCGAAAGCGUGGGUAGCAAACAGGAUUAGAUACCCUGGUAGUCCACGCUGUAAACGGUGAGUGCUGGGUGUGGGAGGUGUAAUGCCUUCUGUGCCGAAGCUAACGCGUUAAGCACUCCGCCUGGGGAGUACGGCCGCAAGGUUGAA